rnacentral:rRNA from 1 species
GAUGAACGCUGGCGGCGUGCCUAAUACAUGCAAGUCGAGCGAACAGACGAGGAGCUUGCUCCUCUGACGUCAGCGGCGGACGGGUGAGUAACACGUGGAUAACCUACCUAUAAGACUGGGAUAACUUCGGGAAACCGGAGCUAAUACCGGAUAAUAUAUUGAACCGCAUGGUUCAAUAGUGAAAGACGGUUUUGCUGUCACUUAUAGAUGUAUCCGCGCCGCAUUAGCUAGUUGGUAAGGUAACGGCUUACCAAGGCAACGAUGCGUAGCCGACCUGAGAGGGUGAUCGGCCACACUGGAACUGAGACACGGUCCAGACUCCUACGGGAGGCAGCAGUAGGGAAUCUUCCGCAAUGGGCGAAAGCCUGACGGAGCAACGCCGCGUGAGUGAUGAAGGUCUUCGGAUCGUAAAACUCUGUUAUUAGGGAAGAACAAAUGUGUAAGUAACUAUGCACGUCUUGACGGUACCUAAUCAGAAAGCCACGGCUAACUACGUG